AGGACAGUAGCUUCGGGAUUAUCUGAAAUGAGGUCAACCGUAGCUUACUUCUUAACGGUUGCUAUUGCUGGUUCGAAUCCGGCCUGUUCUA
rnacentral:tRNA from 1 species